rnacentral:tRNA from 1 species
AAGUAUGAAGCGAUUUAUUGCAAUUAGUUUCGACCUAAUUCUAGGUAUAUAAUUACCCUUACUUU